rnacentral:rRNA from 1 species
AGAACGAACGCUGGCGGCAUGCCUAAUACAUGCAAGUCGAACGAACUCUUCGGAGUUAGUGGCGCACGGGUGCGUAACGCGUGGGAAUCUGCCCCUUGGUUCGGAAUAACAGUUGGAAACGACUGCUAAUACCGGAUGAUGACGAAAGUCCAAAGAUUUAUCGCCAAGGGAUGAGCCCGCGUAGGAUUAGCUAGUUGGUGAGGUAAAGGCUCACCAAGGCGACGAUCCUUAGCUGGUCUGAGAGGAUGAUCAGCCACACUGGGACUGAGACUCGGCCCAGACUCCUACGGGAGGCAGCAGUAGGGAAUAUUGGACAAUGGGCGAAAGCCUGAUCCAGCAAUGCCGCGUGAGUGAUGAAGGCCUUAGGGUUGUAAAGCUCUUUUACCCGAGAUGAUAAUGACAGUAUCGGAAGAAUAAGCCCCGGACUAACCGUCCGACGCCAGCAGCCGC